ensembl:lncRNA novel transcript
CAUUUGUGCUGCAUCAGGUAGAGGUGGGUACCCUCCCUUAUUUCUUUAAUAGUGUGGAGAUUAGCACCUGGCACAUCCCAGGAAUUGGGAAAGCCGCUGAGUACUCACACUGUAGUUAAGGCUGGUCCUGGCAGCAGAUGCCACUGAAACCUAAAACAUACACCAUCUCUGCUCUUUGAAGCCUGCAAACCUUCUGACAAAGAAGCAGCCUUGAAAAGACAAAAUGGAUCCAGCAGGGAAUUAGACAGAAAAUAUUUACAGACUCGGUGAACCAAGAGCUGGGUGUUCCGGGCUGUUGAAGAAAAUGGAGUAAUGGGAUAGAAGCUGCUUUCAACUUCCUGCUGAGGACCCAAGGCCAGGAAAAAAGAAAAUUUUUGGAUAUCAGAAAUCAGAACAGGCCUGGAGUUGGGGAAUAAAUUAGGAAAGACACGGACUCAAGCAAAGGAAGACAUCAGAAGUAGAGGUUGGCCAAAGGACAAAACUACAAAGCAGCAAUUGCAGAUUGAAUCAAAUCAUCAGCUACUGGACAUUACAACAUUCACCAUGGAGAGUAACAAUAAUAUGCAUUUAUCAGAACUUCACUAUGUGCCAGGCACAACAUUUUAUGGAAGAUGAACAGGUAGAUAGACAAACAGAUAUGAGUACAUAGCUAGGUAAGUUGGUAGAUAGGUAGCAGGAUUCUCUGUCUCCCUAUUCCUUCUGGUAAGAAGAUAAAAGCUAAUGACUUCAAAAGCAUAACUGUGCAUUCAAUAUUCAUAGAAAGGGUCUGUGUGUGGUAGGAAAGAGACACAGGACAGGCAUGCUUGUCAAUUAAAAGAUUACGGUAGUGUGGUAAACUAGCCUUAUAAGCCUGGGUGAGGAUUAUUGGUGCAGUAUUAACCCUCACAGGAAUAGAUACCCAGUUACGUUUUACUACUCCAGGCUGUUGAAGACAACUGGAAUAAAAAGUCAAGGCAGUGGCCAGAUGCAGUGGCUUAAGCCUGUUAUCCCAGCACUUGGGGAGGCCGAGGUGGGCAGAUCACCAGAGAUCAGGAGUUUGAGACUAGCCUGGCCAACGUGGUGAAACCCCACCU